rnacentral:rRNA from 1 species
AUACGUAGGUGGCAAGCGUUGUCCGGAAUUAUUGGGCGUAAAGCGCAUGUAGGCGGAGCCUCAAGCCUGUCGUGGAACUGCGUGGCCUAACCCCGUAUGGCGAUGGAAACUGGUGCACUUUAGUGCCGGAGAGGAAAGGGGGACUCCCAGUGUAGCGGGGAAAUGCGUAGAUACUGGGAAGAACCCCGGCGGCGAAGGAGCCUUUCUGGACUGUGUCGGAGUCUGAGAUGCGAAAGCCAGGGAAGCGAACGGGAUUAGAUACCCCGGUAGUCCUGGCCGGAAACGAUGGGUACUAGGUGUGGGAGGUAUCGCCCCCUUCCGUGCCGGAGUUAACGCAAUAAGUACCCCGCCUGGGGAGUACGGCCGCAAGGCUUAAACUCAAAGGAAUUGACGGGGG